rnacentral:rRNA from 1 species
AUUGAACGCUGGCGGCAUGCCUUACACAUGCAAGUCGAACGGCAGCACGGGUGCUUGCACCUGGUGGCGAGUGGCGAACGGGUGAGUAAUAUAUCGGAACGUACCCUAUCGUGGGGGAUAACUAGUCGAAAGAUUAGCUAAUACCGCAUACGACCUGAGGGGGAAAGCGGGGGACCGUAAGGCCUCGGGCGAUUGGAGCGGCCGAUAACUGAUUAGCUAGUUGGUGGGGUAAAGGCCUACCAAGGAGACGAUCAGUAGCUGGUUUGGGAGGACGAUCAGCCACACUGGGACUGAGACACGGCCCAGACUCCUACGGGAGGCAGCAGUGGGGAAUUUUGGACAAUGGGGGCAACCCUGAUCCAGCAAUGCCGCGUGAGUGAAGAAGGCCUUCGGGUUGUAAAGCUCUUUUGUCAGGGAAGAAAAGGUUCUCACUAAUACUGGGAGCUGAUGACGGUACCUGAAGAAUAAGGACCGGCUAACUACGUGCCAGCCGCCGCUGUAACAC